CCAAAUACAAAUGGUCUCAGGAAAAAGGCAAAUAUGCAAUAAUUUUGUGUUGGUUCAAAUUAGGUAAAGUGGGUAACUACUAAACCAGAGGAUGUUGCAUGCCAUUUUUGUUCAUCGGCCUGGCAUGAUUUGGAUUGUUGUAGAGGUAGGUUUCAUCACCUCAUGUAAUAUAUAAUUUCAGCUUCAUUUGCGUGCACCAUUAGCAUGAUAAAAUUUUCAAAUUUCUCAUUUUCUUGGUCGUAGGUCGGCGUGAAUGAAGAGCUAGCUUGGGAAGACGCAGUCGAUUAUUAUUGCCUAUUUCUCUAUUGAAAGGUGUUGCUUCUUUCAUCUUGACAGGUACAUGUGUGUAUUAUGGAUACUUUUAUUGUGAUGUUUCUUCUUUGUCACAGAGACUUUGACAUUGUUAUACAUAUUAGUCUUUUCUCAUUUCACUUCACUUUACUAUUUAAUUUUUUGUUGAAAGAAGAGUGAGUUCAGCCAUGAACAUGCUUGGUUAUAUAAUUAUAUGCUUGCACCUCAACGACAG
rnacentral:lncRNA from 1 species